CUCGUGUCCCGCGGUGCCCGCAGCCCCCGGCGCCCCCCGGCCCCGCGUGGACGCCCAGCCCUGCGCUCUGCCCCGCUGCACCCCAGGUCGCAAGAUGAGGAACCUGCCCGUGGCCCUGCUGGCGCUGCUGCUCCCGGCGGCGUGGGCUGCCCCCAAGGAUGGGCUGCACCGGCUGGAGCCCCCCCUGGCCGUGGGGCUGGAUCCCAGUGAGAACCCGCUGAGCCCAGAGGCCCCUGCGCUGGGGUGAGUCCCGGCCCCUCGGGAGCCCCAUGGCGCAGUGGGAGCGGUGGGAGGGGGUAGGGGGACCGUGGGGGGGAACGAGUGGGGGCAGAGCCCAGCUGGGUGUGGGGCAGGGAGCCCCGGGGCUGGCCGUGGGGCAGGGACAGGGCAUCCAGGGGCUGGCUGUGGGGCAGAGCACCCCAGGGCUGGCUGUGGGGCACAGGCAGGGCACCCUGGAGCUGGCUCUGGGGCAGGGACAGGACUGACGUGGAGCUUGCUGCGGGGCAGGGGCAGGGCAUCCUCGGGCUGGCUGUGGGGCUGGGGCAGUGGAAGGGCUGUGCUGGGGUUGGCUAUGGGGCAGGGACAGGGCAUCCUGGGUCCAGCUGUGGGGCAGGGGCAGGAUGCCCUGGGGCCAGCCGUGGGGCAGGGGCAGGCAGCACGUGCCCCCCAGGCUGCUGCGGAGCGCCGUGGAGCGCCUGGGGCCGCCGGAGCCGGGAGCCGCCGACCUGACGCGGGAGCAGGCCCUGCUCUACCUCUUCGCGCUGCACGACCACGACGGCAGCCGGCGCCUGGACGGGCUCGAGCUCCUGCAGCUGCUGAGCGAGGCGCUGGCGCAGCGGGACGUGGGGCGCCCUGCCCCGGACGCGGUAGGUGCCGGCACCCCGCGCCCCCCGCACCCCCCGGCCGCCCUGACCCCCGUGCCCGCAGGUGGCCGUGCUCGUGGACCGCGUCCUGGAGACGCAGGACCUGGACGGCGACGGGCUGCUGGACCCCUCCGAGCUGCUGCUGCUGCCCGGCGGGGGCCGGGGUGCCACAGCUGUGGGGCAGGGUGUCGCGCGCUGGCCGGAGCCGGGCAUGGAGCCGGAGACAGGCACGGAGCUGAGCGACCCGGGGCAGGGCCCGGCCGAGGGGCAGGAGGCGCCGGGCGGCGCUGCCCCCCCGGAGCCCGAGGCGGCGCCGGGGCUGGGGGACACUGCUGAGGUCUAGGGGUGGACGGCACCGGCAGGACCAUGUCUCCCCCCCCCCGGCACCUCCAUGGGGCCCUGGCGUGCAGGGUGCCAGCGUGGUGCACAGUGCCGAUGCACUGCAGUGCGCAGUGCCAGUGCAGUGCAUGAUGCUGGCAUGGUGCCAGUGCAAUUCACAGUGCCAGUGCGGUGCACAGUACCAGCAUGGCGCGCAGUGACGAUGCAGUGCACAGUGCAGUGCAAUGCAUGCUGCUGGUGCAAUACAUGGUGGUGGCGUGGUGCGCAGUGCCGGAGUGGUUCCCUGCCCCCCUGCCAGCCCCACAGCCGGCCCUGGGGCGCGGCACCACGGCGGCUCACUGUUCCAGGCCACCCCGUCUGCUGCCGGGGCCAAGGGCUGCAGGGGACCCACGUCACCCCGGCACUGGGGCCAGCCCCACGGCGCAGCCUGUGGCAGGGUCGCCCUCCGCCGUGCCUGGGGGUGGGCAGCGCUGUGGGGCGGGAGCACCGCGCCGGGACACGUGCAAUCAACCCUGUAACGCUUGGCAGGAUGGAGAAAUACAYGGCGCUGCCGCCCUGCGCUCGCCUCAGCGCCUUCGCUGUGGGGCACCGGGACUCGCUG
ensembl:lncRNA